rnacentral:rRNA from 1 species
AUUGAACGCUAGCGGGAUGCCUUACACAUGCAAGUCGAACGGAGUGGCGAACGGGUGAGUAAUGUAUCGGAACGUGCCCAGUAGCGGGGGAUAACUACGCGAAAGCGUAGCUAAUACCGCAUACUAUCGGAGCGGUCUAGAUCGGAUUAGCUAGUUGGUGGGGUAACGGCUCACCAAGGCGACGAUCCGUAGCUGGUUUGAGAGGACGACCAGCCACACUGGGACUGAGACACGGCCCAGACUCCUACGGGAGGCAGCAGUGGGGAAUUUUGGACAAUGGGCGAAAGCCUGAGCAAGCCAUGCCGCGUGUGUGAUGAAGGCCUUCGGGUUGUAAAGCACUUUUGGCAGGGAAGCGGUACCUACAGAAUAAGCACCGGCUAACUACGUGCCAGCAGCCGCGGUAAUUC